UCUCCGUAGGUGAACCAGCGGAAGGAUCAUUACCGAGUGAGGGACUCCCGGGUCCAUCUGACCACCCGUCUUUAUUCAUCUUGCGGCCACGGCGAGCCUGCCUAUAGGCUGCCGGGCGCCGUCAGACCCCGGAUCCGUGCUCGCCGGAGUAACCUUAGAACUAUGCCUGAAGAUUGUAGACUGAUUCUAAAUCGAAAUUAUUUAAAACUGUCAACAACGAAUCUCCUGCUUCUGGCAUGGAUGAAGAACGCAGCAGAUGGGACGAGCACACGUCUGAAA
rnacentral:misc_RNA from 1 species